CUCAGAUGCGAAAGCGUGGCGAGCAAACAGGAUUAGAUACCCUGGUAGUCCACGCCGUAAACGAUGUCUACUUGGAGGUUGUGGCCUUGAGCCGUGGCUUUCGAAGCUAACGCGUUAAGUAGACCGCCUGGGGAGUACGGUCGCAAGAUUAAAACUCAAAUGAAUGACGGGGGCCCGCACAAGCGGUGGAGCAUGUGGUUUAAUUUGAUGCAACGCGAAGAACCUUACCUACUCUUGACAUCCAGAGAACUUUCCAGAGAUGGAUUGGUGCCUUCGGGAACUCUGAAACAGGUGCUGCAUGGCUGUCGUCAGCUCGUGUUGUGAAAUGUUGGGUUAAGUCCCGCAACGAGCGCAACCCUUAUCCUUGUUUGCCAGCGAGUAAUGUCGGGAACUCCAGGGAGACUGCCGGUGAUAAACCGGAGGAAGGUGGGGACGACGUCAAGUCAUCAUGGCCCUUACGAGUAGGGCUACACACGUGCCACAAUGGCGCAUACAGAGGGCGGCCAACUUGCGAAAGUGAGCGAAUCCCAAAAAGUGCGUCGUAGUCCGGAUUGGAGUCUGCAACUCGACUCCAUGAAGUCGGAAUCGCUAGUAAUCGUGGAUCAGAAUGCCACGGGGAAUACGUUCCCGGGCCUUGUACACACCGCCCA
rnacentral:rRNA from 1 species